rnacentral:rRNA from 1 species
GACGAACGCUGGCGGCGUGCCUAACACAUGCAAGUCGAACGGAGCACUUCGGUGCUUAGUGGCGAACGGGUGAGUAACGCGUGAGAAACCUGCCUUUCAGUGGGGGACAACAGUUGGAAACGACUGCUAAUACCGCAUAAUGUUAUUUGGGGGCAUCCCUGAAUAACCAAAGCUUUAUGUGCUGAAAGAUGGUCUCGCGUCUGAUUAGCUAGAUGGCGGGUAACGGCCCACCAUGGCGACGAUCAGUAGCCGGUCUGAGAGGAUGAACGGCCACAUUGGGACUGAGAUACGGCCCAGACUCCUACGGGAGGCAGCAGUGGGGGAAUAUUGGGCAAUGGGGGAAACCCUGACCCAGCAACGCCGCGUGAAGGAAGAAGGCCUUCGGGUUGUAAACGUUACUUUUACCUAACGGGUACGAAGAAAGUAGACGGUACC